GUGUAUGGAAUGGCAGUGUAAGGUCUGCACAUUUGUGGCGUCAUCGAAGGGGGGACUUCUUAAACACUAUCGACUGAAACAUGGACAUUUUGGUCGUGGACAUUUUCUGCCUUGUAUUCAUUUAAAUUGUCCAUGUUCAUUUAAAACUUGGGGUGGCUUGCGUUCACACUUGUAUAGAGCUCACAAAUCAGAGAAAACUGAUAAUCAACAAGAUGUGAUAGCUUUUAAAUGUAAAAAGUGUCACUUGUGCUUUCAAAAUACAAAAGAUUAUUUUCAACACAUUAACUCUCAUCUGAAACGACUAGAAACAAUAGUGUGUGUUUUUGAUGGUUGUGAGUUCAAAACAAACAUAUAUGGCACUUAUGCUACUCACAGAAGUCGAAAGCACAAAUUUUACUCAUGUGAUGACUUAAAGACUGAGGUGAUUGUAAAACUUCCUAUUUCUACCAGUGUUCAACAGAAUGAAAGCAAUUUUUCAUCAGUGGAAUCAGUUGAUGAUGUGGAGUUUGAUACAACUGUAGAUUUGGAUUGUGAAGGACAUACAAGUGCAUUUGUGGAAGUAAUUGGUUCUCUCUUGUUGAAGUUAGAAAGCAUUUAUAAUGUCACAGGUAAAUGUUUAGAUGACUUGGUGGAACAGCUCCAGUUUAUUUGCACAUCAUCAUCGCAGUACAUUCCAAAUUUAGUGAGAGAUAUUUUGACACAGAAUAACUGCACUGUUGACGAAAAUGUUAUCAGUGAGUUAGUUGAAAAAUUACAACUCUGUAAUCCUCUAACCAAAGCUUUUGGUCCUGAUGGUCCUUUUCAUUCUAAGUAUAAGAGGGUAACAUACUUUAAAGAAAACUUUCAUUUUGUCGAGCCAGUUGAACAUAUAUUUGAUCCACUGGACAGUUGUUCUUUUCAAUAUGUACCCAUCCUACAAUCCUUGCAGCAGCUGUUAAACAACAAAGACAUUGUAAGUAAAAUACUGACCACACAUUCAGGCAAAGCAUCACAGCUUUCAUCCUUUCGAGAUGGAAAAUAUUUUAAGUUAAAUGAGUUUUACACGGAUGGGGAGCUAAGAAUUUCACUUAUACUUUAUGUGGAUGAUUUUGAAAUAUGCAAUCCGCUUGGAACCUCACAGAAAAAACAUAAAGUGACAGCCGUGUAUUGGGUACUUGCAGACGUGCCAUCAGAAUUGAGAUCCCAAUUGACAUCAAUUAAUUUGGCACUUCUUUGCAAAGCUAAUGAUGUUAAGAAAUUUGGGUAUGAAACUGUUCUGGAGCCUCUCUUGAAGGACCUUAUUACAUUUGAGGAAGAAGGUAUUUUUUUUCCUGCCAUUGGCAAAAAUAUCAGAGGAGCAGUUUUUUGUGUUUCAGCGGAUAAUCUUGGUGCUCAUUCUUUGAGUGGCCUUGUGGAAAAUUUUACUGGGCAUUACAUAUGUAGAUUUUGUAUUGGGGACCAUUCAGACUACCAGCAAAAAGAGGUUCAUUCUGGGUUUUUUCCACCAAGAACAAAGGAGAAUUAUUUUUUACAUGUUCAAUCUCUAAAGGAAAACCCUAAUCUGUUACAUUGUUAUGGUGUAAAGAAGGUUUGUCCCUUAACAGAAAAACUGAAACAUUUUCAUUUUGUGACAGGGUACCCACCAGAUGUGCUCCACGACCUCUUGGAAGGGAUAAUACCUUUGGUGUUGGCACUGUGUUUUAACCUGUUUGUAAAAAAGAGAUCUAUUGGUGGAAACGCACACGAGAAUUGGACACUACUGAGAUUAUUACCAUUUGUAGUUGGUACAAAGGUGCCAUUCAGUGAUCCCGCAUGGCAAGUUCUCAUGACAUUAAAAGAUAUUACUGAACUCGUGGUAUCCCCUAUUCAUACCGAGGACAGUAUAAGUUAUCUUGAUACAUUGAUAUCUGAACAUCGCCAUCGCCUGUUGGAAGUUUUUCCUGACUUUAAGUUAACUCCUAAGUUCCAUUUCUUGGAACAUUAUCCAGACAUGAUAAAAUGCUUUGGACCUUUGGUUUGUGUCUGGACUAUGCGCUUUGAGGCAAAGCAUAAUUUUUUCAAGCGUAUUGUUAGACACACAAACAGUUUCAGAAACAUUCUACUCAGUCUUACCACAAAGCACCAAAUGAUGAUGGCUUAUCAUUUACAUGCUGAUGCUUUGAAACCUGCAUUAUGUGUGAGUAAAGUAACUAGUAUUCCAUUGGCAUUGCUGCAUGAGGAAAUACAGGAGUCUUUUAAAAAAGUAUAUCCAGAACAAACCACAGUGGAGCUGACAAAUGCACUGUCAUAUCACGGAACCAGAUAUGCAGUUGGGAUGAUUUUGUCUCAUGGAUCUACCGGAGGUUUACCCGAUUUUGUGGAGAUUUCACAAAUUGUGAUUGUAGGCAGUGAACUUAAUUUUAUUGUUAAGUUGCUUAACAGCUGGUAUUAUGAACAUUUUAGGGGGUUUGUUUUGGAGCACUCUGGGAAGGUGACUCUGCUGCACAUACAGCAACUUAGUGAUACAUACCCCUUGGCAGCAUACUGUGUGGGAGGAAAACGCAUGGUCAGUUUAAAAAGACACAUUAUUGUCCAGUAUUAGGUGAAAAAGCUAAAAGCAUUAACUGUACAGCAAUCCUACCCUGAUUUCCAGUUGUGAAUUGUUUUCAUACAGAUGGACCCUGUUGUUGUGAAGGUGAUUAUAGAUCAUCAUAGUGAGAAGCUCACACUGUCAUCAGGGUUGCCAGACACAGUGGAGCAAUUGCAUAAGACUGUGAAGGACACUUUCCAGAUCCAUGAGGAAUUCACCCUACAUUACUUUGAUGAGGACUUUGGGGAUUUCUUCACAAUUCAUUCUACUAACGAAGUUAAACACAAGGGGACAAUCAAGGUGGUCAUUAUUCCAUCCAUAGUGCUCUCAUUAGCAACACCGGAGACUGAAAAUGUGGUAAAUGGAGACAAUGUGAGUGACACCUCCAGUCUGACUUCAAAAACACUGUGUUCACAGUCAUGCUCUAGUUCUGCGGACUACCAGUCGGAUGGCACAUCAUCAGUGUCAUCACGAGGUACUGUCUUAUUAAGCCCUGAAAGGGCAUUGUGGCCAAGUGAAAUUGAAAUUCCAUGUUUUUCAGUUGCAACAGAGGCAGUACUGAGGAAUGCGAAUGAACAAUUUUUGAAAGAUGGCACUGUCCUCAACAGCCCCCACGUCAGGUCUGAAAUAAUGGAAAGGCUGGCAGAUUACAUGUACAGUUACACUGCCUAUCCCACAGGCCUUCAGGUUGGACAGGUUGCUGAAGCCUUAGUCCGAAAACACCCAUGUCUAACAGAACUUGGAAGUCGCAACGGAUGGAUUGGAUGGAUGUACAGCCUAAAAUACAAGAUGGGGAAUUUUAGGUCCAGGUUAAGAAAUCUUGGAUUUCCUGAAGUUACAUGCAAUUCUCUCAAAAACAAGCGUCCUGGUGAGAGGAAACCAGCCCAAAAUGUUAAAAAAGCACGCAAAGGGGAAGUGAUGUAUCUCCCACAUUAUCCUUCAGGAGAAAGCAGUGAACACCAAGAGCAACAGCGGCUCAAAAUUCUGUCUGAAUUAAAGAAGAGAGAGAGGGCGACCAUCAAUGAAUUGAUGUCCAAUACUUUUGCUCAUAGAAGACAGGAUGUUGUUCAUCUUCAACUGAGCAUCAAAGAGAUCAGGGAACGGUGGCCUGCCUUGUUUGAUGUGUCACAGGUCAAUGCAGAAUUCCGUCGAAUUACCACUGUAAAUCUUGAGGCCAAAUUCAUGUUCAUGUUAGACCACUACACCCCUAAACUGCUUGCCAUCUUCCAAGCCAAGAAAGGUGCUGCCGGAGAAAGACAUCGUACAGAAAUGAAUAUUUUACUCCAGAGUGGUAUUCCCAUAGAGAAAACCAGAGAAGUAGUCAUGCGAUGUCUCAUUGAUCACCUGGGUGAAGAUGUGGGUGCCUUAAUCAAGGAGUUUGGGAAUGUUGGUGAUUCAGCCAUCAAUGUGGAAGAAGAGCUGGCAGCAGAGACGAUGGCUCUGUACCUUGUGCGUAAUGAAGAUGGACAAGUCAGUGAUGUAGGGAUCGUCAUUGAGGGUUCCAUCGUACUCAAACACCUUGGGGAUCUCAGUAGAGCCUGCUGCUACUUGCUUGGACUAACUUAUGCCUUGGACCUCAAAUACCCCAAAACUCUAAAAUACAUUUUUGAAGUAUUUCAAAAGAUGCUCGUUGAAGUGGAUGCUGGAAACUUGUCAACAAAGGUGCAACGACUGAAAAACAGUCUAAUGAUAUAGUUGUCUGUGGGGUCGAUGAGCACAGAUGAGACUCAUAACCAGUUUAACCAUCCGUGUAAGGCAAAAAAACAGACUGUAUCCUCAGUAAUGAGUGAGCUUCCUCUGGACAGAAACUUGGACAAUCUAUGGCUUCAUUUCAUCAGACCACAUCCAGGUGUUGUCUGACUCUGAUUAUGUGAUUUGAUGUUUUUUUGAUUGCACAUUUACAUUGCAUUAAUAUGUGGAGAUUUUUUUUUUUUUUUUUUUUUACCAUUCCUCUGAGGCAUGAGGCCAGUUUUUAAUUUAGAGUUUUGAGGCAGUUUCACCAGAAGUGAUGUAAAUGUUGUACUUCUAAAGGAGAAAAUAGUUUUUGUAUUUUCAGUUUGAAGUAUCUGUAAUUGUGAGAAAUGCAGGUGUUUAAAAAAAAGCACAAGAGUUGACCAAUGUAUUAUCAUAUCUAAAUGUGAAGCCAAAUAUGCUGAUGCAAGAUGAUUUUUGCCCUUGUGUCACAGAUUGUGAUAGGCCCAGCUACUAGUUAUCAGUGUGUUUAGUGUGAAGAUUACCCCUUGCAUUAAUAUGCAUCUGUAACAUGUAUUUUUUUUUAUGGCCAUUUGGCAAGAAGCAUUUUAGUUCAGAGGUGUUUGACUUUGGGUAUCCUAAAUUACCUUCCCUGUAACAGCUUCGAAUGUGCUGCUGUAGUUGUGUCCACAUAACUGUAAGGCACAUGGACAUGUCGAUGAGUUAAAUGUUAGUUGUUGAUGGUUCAGAUGAGAAAACAGUUGAAACCCUUUGUUGUUGUGAUAUAGCUCCAGUUGUUGUGGAGAAGUUGAUAAGCUAUGUAUUUUCUUUCUUGGCUUGGAAGUAUAAUUUUUUGAAAUGCACUUUUAUGUAUUAAGUGUGUGCAUAUACUGUUAUCCUCUGUGGGAAGAAUGUUUUGAAAUAAAAAUUUUAUGUUUUGUGA